CUUACCGCUUGGCCACGCCCCA
rnacentral:tRNA from 20 species